CACUCCUACGGGAGGCAGCAGUGGGGAAUAUUGAACAAUGGGCGCAAGCCUGAUCCAGCCAUGCCGCGUGAGUGAUGAAGGCCCCAGGGUUGUAAAGCUCUUUCACCGGUGAAGAUAAUGACGGUAACCGGAAAAGAAGCCCCGGCUAACUUCGUUCCAGCAGCCGCGGUAAUACGAAGGGGGCUAGCGUUGUUCGGAUUUACUGGGCGUAAAGCGCACGUAGGCGGACUAUUAAGUCAGGGGUGAAAUCCCGGGGCUCAACCCCGGAACUGCAUUUGAUACUGGUAGUCUUGAGUGCGAGAGAGGUGAGUGGAAUUCCGAGUGUAGAGGUGAAAUUCGUAGAGAUUCGGAGGAACACCAGUGGCGAAGGCGGCUAACUGGCUCGAUACUGACGCUGAGGUGCGAAAGCGUGGGGAGCAAACAGGAUUAGAAACCCCAGUAGUCCCA
rnacentral:rRNA from 1 species